rnacentral:rRNA from 1 species
GACGACGCUGGCGGCGUGGGUUAGGCAUGCAAGUCGAACGGUAGGAUACCUUCGGGUAUCUGAGAGUGGCGAACGGGUGAGUAACACGUAGGUGAUCUACCCUCAAGAUUGGGACAACCCAGGGAAACUUGGGCUAAUACCGGAUGAAAGCAGCAGUGAUGUUGUUUGAAAGGUGGCGUAAGCUGCCGUUUGGGGAUGAGCCUGCGCUCUAUUAGUUAGUUGGCGGGGUAAAGGCCCACCAAGGCGAUGAUAGAUAGGCGGCCUUAACGGGUGGUCGCCCACACUGGGAUUGAGAUACGGCCCAGACUCCUACGGGAGGCAGCAGUCGAGAAUAGUCUACAAUGGCCGAAAGGCUGAUAGUGCGACGCCGCGUGAACGAAGAAGCCCUUCGGGGUGUAAAGUUCUUUUAUAUGUGAGCAGUGCUUUCUAUGUGAACAGCAUGGGGAGAGAGAUAUUAGCAUAUGAAUAAGCAACGGCUAACUCCGUG